rnacentral:rRNA from 1 species
AUUGAACGCUGGCGGCAUGCCUUACACAUGCAAGUCGAACGGCAGCACGGGAGCAAUCCUGGUGGCGAGUGGCGAACGGGUGAGUAAUAUAUCGGAACGUGCCCAGUCGUGGGGAUAACGUAGCGAAAGCUACGCUAAUACCGCAUACGAUCUAUGGAUGAAAGCGGGGGAUCGCAAGACCUCGCGCGAUUGGAGCGGCCGAUAUCAGAUUAGGUAGUUGGUGAGGUAAAAGGCUUCACCAAAGCCGACGAUCUGUAGCUGGUCUGAGAGGACGACCAGCCACACUGGGACUGAGACACGGCCCAGACUCCUAC